UACGUAGGGUGCGAGCGUUAAUCGGGAUUACUGGGCGUAAAGCGUGCGCAGGCGGUUAUUUAAGUCAGGUGUGAAAGCCCUGGGCUUAACCUAGGAAUUGCGCUUGAGACUGGAUAGCUUGGAGUGCGGCAGAGGGAGGUGGAAUUCCACGUGUAGCAGUGAAAUGCGUAGAGAUGUGGAGGAACACCGAUGGCGAAGGCAGCCUCCUGGGCCAGCACUGACGCUCAUGCACGAAAGCGUGGGGAGCAAACAGG
rnacentral:rRNA from 1 species